UCCAACAAAAUCCAAAUCCAAUUAUUUUUGCUCCCAUUUUUUAAAUCCAUUUUUUGAUCAAUCCAUUCUACAUCCAUAACAAUCAUACCUUUUAACAAAAGAAAAAAAAACAUUCCAUCUAAACAUACUUCAAAGUCCACAUUUAAUGGCCCAAGUCCAUAACAUUGGUUUUAAGCAAGGCAAAAUAGAAAGUUACAGCAUGAUCAUAUUUAUAAUAAGCAUGAUGACGGAUGGACGAUCUAAGCAAGCGACAAAAUGAUACUUAUUCAUUUAUCAUAGCCUAGUAUGCCUAAGCUGAGUUUCUACAAAUGACAGAAAUCACACUGUGACGAAGCAGCUGCCAUAUUACAAAAGCGUGGUACCCCAAAUGUGAGCCUACAGUUCCAUGAGUUAUACUUCCCUAGUGCCUCUCUUUGCAGCAUCAUGAUAAUCUCGCCAAGAGCCGCGACAAUUCGACAAUGGAUACCAACGGCACGACCAUUUCCCGGUGCGUAAAUAACUUCGUAAUUAGCUUCCCACCUGCGUGAAACCAUGAGCGUUUGAUCAGCAGCCUGACAAAAUUCACACCAAGGCGAACCAUGAGUAAGAUAAGAGUGAGUGUGGAAUGAUUACAUAAAGAUAAGACCCUAGCUGCCAUGCAUUCUGAGCCAUAAGCAACACAAACAGAACCACAAAGUUAAGGUGGCACAAUCCAUAAGUACAUCAAAGGC
rnacentral:lncRNA from 1 species